rnacentral:misc_RNA from 1 species
GACCGGAGUAAGAUUUACCUGGCUGAGGUGAAGAUGAGGCGACUGAACACAAUUUCCCUUAUUAUAUUGGUCAUUACAUGGAUUCCAGGGGGCAUUCAAGGUCAAACCGAUGGAGACGUUCGCCUUCAAGAUGGAGACACACAAUACCAAGGCCGUGUAGAGAUAUACCAUAAUGGAGAGUGGCGGAGGGUGUGUGAGGAGGGGUGGGGACUUGACGACGCCAAAGUUGUUUGCGGGCAAUUAGGCUUCGAAGACGCCCACGCUGGACAUGUCAACCAUAAUCCGAGAGGAACAGGGGCAUUUUUGGCUGUCCGAUGUGCACUGCGCUGGCACGGAAGACGCUUUGAACAACUGCACGUCUGGAGGUUGGGGCAACAUCAACUCUGGAUGUGGAAUCAAUGACUACGACGACGCUGGGGUCAUCUGCAAAGCACCGGGCGAUGGGGACUUGCGUCUAGUUAACACGUCAAAUGCGUACGAAGGUAGCUUGGAAAUACAAUAUGGUGGAAGAUGGGGGAGGGUUUGUGGCUACGGGUGGGAUCUUACGAGUGCCAACGUAGCGUGCAAGCAGCUUGGUUUUACCGGAGCCCAUACACCGAUAUCAAAUAUGUCAACGCGGGGGUCAGGGCGAUACUGGAUUCAGAAUUUGAAUUGCCAGGGAUCCGAGGCGUCCCUGUCAGAUUGCUACCAUGACGGCGUUGGAGAAAUAAACCCACAGUAUUGUGACGAGACCUCAUUACAUGACGCCGGCGUUCUGUGUAAAGGGCCCAAUGACGGAGAUGUCAGAUUGGUCGGUCCCUCCCAAUAUAUGGGCCGAGUUGAGAUCUUCUACGCAGGAAUCUGGGGGAGAGUGUGUACUAACGGGUGGUCGCUGAGUGACGCCGUAGUAACCUGCAGACAGCUUGGUUUCAGUGGGAUAGUCGGAUCCCUCACAAGUUGGACACCGAGGGGGACUUCGAGGGUGUUUUUAGACCAAUUUAACUGCGCCGGUACAGAGAGUCGGUUGGAUGCCUGUUCUCAUGGGUCAAUAGGGUACCCAAGUACUACGUACUGCUCAGAAACAUCCAAUGUGGAUGCCUCUGUCCUCUGUAAAGCGCCUGACGAUGGUCAACUUCGUCUGGUGGACGGUAACGGCUACAACAGCGGCCGUGUGGAGAUCAAGUUUGCCGGAGUAUGGAGGCGUGUUUGUGACAGUGGAUGGGGAACCGACGACGCCGCGGUUGUUUGUCGUCAGUUGGGGUACACCAAUCAUGAAAGAGCCGCAACGGAGUGGACCCAGAUGUGCAUCUUGCUCUAACACUUUGGCCUGUAGAGAAGCACAAAACACUUUGCAAUUGUACACCUCUUUCAUCACAUGUCCUGGUGGAUCGGUGUGCUACACUACAGCUUCGGCAUACAGCUUUUUUAGUCACUUCUACAGUUCCUCCAUCACUGCUUACAGAUACAGCCGCGGGUGCAUAAGAAAGUCACAAUGUACCAGCCAGGAGCUGCAGGGAAAUACUUGCACGGGAAGCGGCGACGGUAAAGCCUGCAAGCAUUGCUGUAGUACCAAUUACUGUAAUAGUGGAGUCUUGGACACGUCCCAAGCUAGCGUCAACAACAACAACAACA